CUCUAUUCACAGGUUAGUGUUCAAAUCUAAUAUAUUAAAUUGUUAUAGAAUAUGAGUGCAGGCUCGAAAUAUAAAUGUUUGUCUAGUAUAUAUUCACCAGUUCGGUCUAAAUAUAAUCUAAUUAUAGAACAACAAAACAAAUUACUUAUUUCAUUAAACUACGCUUUUGAGGUUUAGUUACGUAAGAGUAUAAUUAAAAAAAAAUAUAAUACUUUAGCAUUCUAAUAUAUGUAACCUAUGUAUAAACUAGGAACUGGUUGAUUUAUUAAAUGAUAAACCAAAACUUAUAAUAAAUAUUUCAGAUCUCUUAUUCUUACAAUUAUAAUAGCUAGAAAGGAUAUUAAGAAGAAACAAUUAUUAGACGAAUGAUCAAAUCUCCCAUUCUUCGAACAAACUCAAAAUGAGGUAAUUGAAACUUGUCAUGAUAUUUCAUACAAAAAUUUUUAGGAAUAAAAAUAAAGACUAAACUAUAUAUAGUGCUUGCAAUAUUAAAAAUCACUUCGAUUUGAAAAAGUGUAUUUAUUGGAUUGUCAGAAUAAAAUAAAAUAUUAGAAACCACCUACUUAAAAAAUAAUUUGUAUACAUAAAAGUAUAUACAUUAGAGUACACACAUAAAUCAAAACCAACACUUUUUGUUAAUUUACAAUCAGUUUUUGGUAAAUAAAUUGAAGCAAUCGUUUUAUUUACUUUAUAUGGUAUAUAAUUAAACUUUAAUGAUAUUGACAUAUAUAUAGCAUAUAUUUAAUAUAAAUAUUUAUUAUUGGCACUUCCUACUCAUAUGGUUUUAUUAAAAUUUGUAUAUUUGCUGUAACAAAAAUUGAAAUCGUUAAUCACAAAUUUUUAAUGUGAUAUUUUUCAAUACAAAUUUCAAAAUUAAAAUAUUAAGAUCUCAAUAAUUUUUCACUACAAAUUUUCGAAUUAACAUUUUUUUAUAUUUUUAUAUAGUAUAUAAUUUAAUUUAAAUGAUAUUAAUAUUAAUAAUAUGAAUUCUAUUAAUGAGACUUCAGAUUCAUACAAAUUUAUGAUAAUUUGUAUCUUGUUUGAACAAAAAAGUUAAACUAUUGAUCACAAAAUUUUCAAUGUGAGAAUUUUACCAUUUUUAGUAAUUUAUAGUCGCUUUACAAAAUUCAAAAUAUAAUGUAUAAGAAAAAAUCUAAUUUUUAUUAUAUGUUUAAUGUGAUUGUUUAAUUUUUUAAUAAUAUAAAAUUAAACACAAAAUAGAGCGGAUAGAAAAAUUGUUAUCAAAUAUGUAUUAUUCAUAAUUAUUAAUUAUCAUAUAUAUGUUAAUCAUAUUAGGUAAUUUUGUAGCUUUUAUCUAAGUAAAGAAAUAAUAUUAUUUUGUACACUACUAAUCAGUUUGAUAUUUAGUUUAAUAAAAAGUAAAAUAUAUAUUUAUAUGAACUAACUUAUUUUUUUUUGGAAUUUUAAGAAUUAUUUUCUUGAUAACAUGUGAAUACAAAAAUACGUUGUAAUGUUCCAAAAUUAAUAUAUAGGGAAUGAUUAAAGAUUUAUAAAGUGAAAAGAAGGAAACGAUGUCGGCGAAAUUACUGUAUAUUCCGGAAACCGAGCCAGGGGAAUAAAAACCAGCGUAAAACAAAUCUUGAACAAGCAGGAAUAAUCAACAGACAUAUGGUAAAAGGUCCACGACAGCAGAGAAGUGCCAAAACAAAAACACAUUUUCUGAAUAGAAGAACGAAACUCUUCCUAUUGAUGACAUUUGUAUAGAAAAUAAAAUUCCAAAACUAGAAGGAAGUAACCACGACAAGAAAAUCCAAGUGACUGUCUUCACCGUUGCUGCAACUAAGGCCAUAAAGACCAAUUCCCAAAUUCUAAACGGAACAUGACAGAGGAAUUUGUAACGUCCCGGUUUUUGUUAACCGGAGUUGGUUUAAGAGGAGCUCCGCCAUUGUUGACGCAUCACCACCGUUGGGUUGAUCAGUGCCGAGUCUAGCCACCGUAUCUCUUCGCUAUCGUUCAUGGCUUUCCAUCUCUAUGAAUCAAUCUCCACCGAAGAACACAGAUGUAAUCACCAUAUCAAAGCCUUGUGAUAUUGGUGCUGGUUGGCUACGUUACGAGACGGAGAGAAAACGUGACCAUAAGCCGGCGCCACCGUCUCAUCAUCAGCAACCACCGUCAACCACUGAUUCGCGCCGCCAUGAGCCGAGAGUCACCGGAGGUACAUCCCAUGUCUCCGGAGAUCCAUGUUGCCAUUGUUCAAGUAGCCGUCAUCACCGAUAGUCAACUCCAUUGUGAUCCCCAUCCAAGACGGAAGGCAUAAUUAUACUAAGACGUUUCCUUGUUUCACAAGUCAACCUGUUUUGGUUCUUGGUUGAUUUCUUUAUCUCCGAGCUCGGCUAAGGUGAUGACUAUUCUCGUUAUUUCAUGUAUGCGGCCUAGGACUUUGAAUAAAUAUAGUUUAGUUCUAAUAUAUUUCGUCUCUGUGAAUUUAGUCGAUCUGGUGUCUGUUUGGAGUCUGAUUGAUAUUUAUUUAGGUUUUUUACUUAAACCGAAUAUAUAAGUUUAGAUGGUUCAAUUUUUAUUGUUUCAUUUAAAACUAGUGAAUAAUAGUAGUUGUUUAUUAAGAGUUAUGAGAAUGUUAGUCGGAUACAGAGAGACAUACUUCUAUAGCUAGAGUGUAUGUGUUGUGGUUUGUUACGAGGCAGCUUGAGUCGACCUGUUGAUAUUGAUAAGCGUCUCCGGGCGGUGUGUAUGGGCACUAGUCCCAUACAAGAAUCCUCUUAUAGGAGGAGACCUCUAUUUGGGGGUGUGCGACCCUGUAACUAGGGAUCUUGUUUGUUUUUUGGGUACUAAAAGUGUCGUGUUUGUCAUAUGUUAGAAUUAAAUUAUAUUUAUUCGGAGUGUUAUGCAUGUACUUCGGGUUUAACAUCUCAUAUCUUCUAGUCAUAUUUCUUUCUUUACCAUUUGAGGUGAGACAGACGAGUACAUGAUAUUUGGAUGGAUUGGUGCUACUGAGCUUUUUAUUCAGAUUUUUAUUUGGUUUAUGGUGAGUGGAGUUGUGUAUAUGGGCUAUUGUGUUAUGAAAUAUUUUUGGUGACACACUGUUCUCUAGAUAAGAGGUGAGGGGUCUCACAGAAUUACACCAUGAAUGUCAACAUGAAGGCAAAAAUAAGGUGCAGACAAAUUGGAUAUUGGAAAAAGAGAACAGAAAUAUGACUAGAACCCAAACACUACUCAAGUCUUGCAUAGCAAAGAACAGAAAUAUGGCAAUAGUUGAAGAAAUAUUAGAAAUGUUGUCGUCGAAAUAACUAUAUUUCACUAAGCAGCUAUCCACACCGUUAAAAGAUCCACGAUUUCAAAUUUGGUUGUAGAUGCACAACCGGCCCAACUCUCCAAACCAGAACUGAAACAACUAUGAUACUGGAAAUAAAAACUCCCCUGCCAACCAAACACCACAAUAAGGAGCACACCAACAAGACCAUAAAGAAAAAUGUACCCGCCUAGAAACACACGAAAACUCUAGUUCCAUACAAAAUUCAACCAUUUGAAGGUCCUCCUGGUAACAUGAAAAGCACUGCUGGACCACGUGCAAACGGAUUUCGUCGCGAUCAACAAAAAGAAUCACCACUAGAUUUGACUGGCCAGCAUCAACGGAGCUGCUUGUCGUGACUGGACUAACAUGACAUAACUGAAACUUGUAACUUCCCGGGGAGAUACAAACUUCGAGGACCAAAAAAAGUACUCAGAGAAUCUAUAUGUAGGAUGAAAGAAACUAGGAAUCCUCCUGCGCGGGCAAGGAGUGCCAGCCACAGGAAGGACUACAAUCAGAAAACGAAGGGCUUUGCGGCACACAGGAAGGUACAGAAAAAUUGGUCAUAAUUUAGUACAACCUCGGCUGAGAAAAAAAAUUAAUUUGGCAUAAAGAAAUAAUUUUGACUCCCUUCCUAGGUUGCACGGAAGCUUCAUCGGAUGUUCGCUUUCCUCGUUGGAACCGGAAUCAGAAUCAGAACCUUGUAAAAGCUUACAGAAUCUCGCUUUCAGAAUUCUUCUAAAAUAUUCUAUUUAAAGAUAGCUUACGAUUUUUGGAAUCAUGCUUCCGUUUUAAAAAAAAACAUACAAUGUCACAAAUAAAUAUAAAAUAUAAAAUUUAAUAGUAAUGAAAUACAGAGAAUAAAUAUACAAAUAUUAAAACUAAUACUAUAUCUUUAUGCAUUGAAGUCUGGUAAGAGCAACAAGUUUAAAAAUAAAAUAAAAA